AGCUGAGGGCACCCGGCUUAGACACGACUGACGGCUAGCCACAGGGAUCACUUGAUUAUGCAGGAGACGAUAUUGGGACCACCCCUACGUGCAAGAUUGAGGAGCGUCUCAUCAAGUCUCCACCUGUCCAUUACUGCGUGGACAGUGCUUGUGUGGGGUCUCGUCAGAAGGGAGCGGGGUCGACACCUCUAUGGACACCACACCCUCUAACGCCCCCACCACUAUCAAACUAGGGGGCACUCCACAACUUGAGCCACACCCAAUACCCUCGUGAAACCCCUCCCCCUUUUCAAGUAAUGGUCAGAGUGUGCAGGGGAUCCCUCCUUGAUGUUUUCGGCAGUCACAAAGUACUCUCGGAUCUGCAGGACUACACCUACCUAUAUCAGGACAUGACGAGCUCAAGCACACCUGUCCAGCAACAUUUUCUCCAUACAACGCCUUCUCAUGGAUCUGACCAAUGAGGUUGCGUAACACCAGGUG